rnacentral:rRNA from 1 species
UACCAGCACCCCGAGUGGUCGGGACGUUUAUUGGGCCUAAAGCAUCCGUAGCCGGUUCUACAAGUCUUCCGUUAAAUCCACCUGCUUAACAGAUGGGCUGCGGAAGAUACUAUAGAGCUAGGAGGCGGGAGAGGCAAGCGGUACUCGAUGGGUAGGGGUAAAAUCCGUUGAUCCAUUGAAGACCACCAGUGGCGAAGGCGGCUUGCCAGAACGCGCUCGACGGUGAGGGAUGAAAGCUGGGGGA